GUGGUAGGGGAGCGUUCUGUAAGCCGAUGAAGGUGUAUUGAGAAGUAUGCUGGAGGUAUCAGAAGUGCGAAUGCUGACGUGAGUAACGACAAAACGGGUGAAAAACCCGUUCGCCGAAAGACCAAGGGUUCCAGUCCAACGUUAAUCGGGGCUGGGUGAGUCGACCCCUAAGGCGAGGCCGAAAGGCGUAGUCGAUGGGAAAAUGGUUAAUAUUCCAUUACUUCUGUGUAAUGCGAUGAGAGGACGGAGAAGGCUAAAUCAGCCUGGCGUUGGUUGUCCAGGUGAAAGGAUGUAGGCAUGUAUCUUAGGCAAAUCCGGGGUACUCUAUGCUGAGAUCUGAUAGCAAGCUGUACUUGUACAGCGAAGUGGUUGAUGCCAUGCUUCCAGGAAAAGUCUCUAAGCUUCAGUUACACAGGAAUCGUACCCGAAACCGACACAGGUGGUCAGGUCGAGUAGACCAAGGCGCUUGAGAGAACUCUGCUGAAGGAACUAGGCAAAAUGGUACCGUAACUUCGGGAGAAGGUACGCUGUUGUUGGUGAUGGAACUCGCUUCCUGAGCUGACGACAGCCGCAGAAACCAGGCCGCUGCAACUGUUUAUUAAAAACAUAGCACUCUGCAAACACGAAAGUGGACGUAUAGGGUGUGAUGCCUGCCCGGUGCUGGAAGGUUAAUUGAUGGGGUUAGCGUAAGCGAAGCUCUUGAUCGAAGCCCCAGUAAACGGCGGCCGUAACUAUAACGGUCCUAAGGUAGCGAAAUUCCUUGUCGGGUAAGUUCCGACCUGCACGAAUGGCAUAAUGAUGGCGGCGCUGUCUCCAGCAGAGGCUCAGUGAAAUCGAAAUCGCUGUGAAGAUGCAGUGUACCCGCGGCUAGACGGAAAGACCCCGUGAACCUUUACUGCAGCUUGACACUGAACUUUGACCUUACUUGUGUAGGAUAGGUGGGAGGCUUUGAAGCUGGAACGCUAGUUCCAGUGGAGCCGUCCUUGAAAUACCACCCUGGUAAUGUUGAGGUUCUAACUCUGUCCCGUGAUCCGGGACGAGGACCGUGUCUGGUGGGUAGUUUGACUGGGGCGGUCUCCUCCUAAAGAGUAACGGAGGAGUACGAAGGUGCGCUCAGCGUGGUCGGAAAUCACGCGUAGAGUAUAAAGGCAAAAGCGCGCUUAACUGCGAGACCCACAAGUCGAGCAGGUACGAAAGUAGGUCUUAGUGAUCCGGUGGUUCUGUAUGGAAGGGCCAUCGCUCAACGGAUAAAAGGUACUCUGGGGAUAACAGGCUGAUACCGCCCAAGAGUUCAUAUCGACGGCGGUGUUUGGCACCUCGAUGUCGGCUCAUCUCAUCCUGGGGCUGAAGCAGGUCCCAAGGGUAUGGCUGUUCGCCAUUUAAAGAGGUACGCGAGCUGGGUUUAGAACGUCGUGAGACAGUUCGGUCCCUAUCUACCGUGGGCGCUGGAAAUUUGAGAGGAUCUGCUCCUAGUACGAGAGGACCAGAGGGGACGAACCUCUGGUGUACCGGUUGUGACGCCAGUCGCAUCGCCGGGUAGCUAUGUUCGGAAGGGAUAACCGCUGAAAGCAUCUAAGCGGGAAGCCUACCUCAAGAUAAGAUUUCCCUAGGACUUUAUGUCCUCUAAAGAGCCGUUCGAGACUAGGACGUUGAUAGGUUGGAUGUGGAAGCAUAGUGAUAUGUGAAGCUGACCAAUACUAAUUGCUCGUGAGGCUUGACUAU
rnacentral:rRNA from 1 species